rnacentral:tmRNA from 1 species
GGGGGUGAAUGGCUUUGACAGCGUGUAGAAGCGGUGUGUAAGCAUGCAGAGCGAUGAUGGCUAUGCUCUUUAAUCUCAGACAUCAAAAAUUUAACUGGCGAAAAUAACUACGCUCUUGCUGCUUGAUUGAAGUAUAGUAGAUCAGCUUAAUCUCUGCCAAAGUGCGCAGAGACAAGACAUCACCCGAUUGCCCCGUUCCGAGACGUUUCGAUAAGGUGGUGCUAAGAAAUUCGGAAAUUGACCCACAUGCUCCUCGGUUGCGGGUUGAAAUUUAGAGGAUAAGUUUCAGGUUGGUAGUCGAGAUCCUGCCUGUUGCCGACAACCAAGUCACGACUAAGCAUGUAGAAAGCCCAUUGAUUCCGCGUUUGGACGAGGGUUCAAACCCCUCCACCUCCACAA